rnacentral:rRNA from 1 species
UUGAAGAGUUUGAUCAUGGCUCAGAUUGAACGCUGGCGGCAGGCCUAACACAUGCAAGUCGAGCGGUAGCACAGAGAGCUUGCUCUCGGGUGACGAGCGGCGGACGGGUGAGUAAUGUCUGGGAAACUGCCUGAUGGAGGGGGAUAACUACUGGAAACGGUAGCUAAUACCGCAUAACGUCGCAAGACCAAAGUGGGGGACCUUCGGGCCUCAUGCCAUCAGAUGUGCCCAGAUGGGAUUAGCUAGUAGGUGGGGUAACGGCUCACCUAGGCGACGAUCCCUAGCUGGUCUGAGAGGAUGACCAGCCACACUGGAACUGAGACACGGUCCAGACUCCUACGGGAGGCAGCAGUGGGGAAUAUUGCACAAUGGGCGCAAGCCUGAUGCAGCCAUGCCGCGUGUGUGAAGAAGGCCUUCGGGUUGUAAAGCACUUUCAGCGGGGAGGAAGGCGGUGAGGUUAAUAACCUCAUCGAUUGACGUUACCCGCAGAAGAAGCACCGGCUAACUCCGUGCCAGCAGCCGCGGUAAUACGGAGGGUGCAAGCGUUAAUCGGAAUUACUGGGCGUAAAGCGCACGCAGGCGGUCUGUCAAGUCGGAUGUGAAAUCCCCGGGCUCAACCUGGGAACUGCAUUCGAAACUGGCAGGCUAGAGUCUUGUAGAGGGGGGUAGAAUUCCAGGUGUAGCGGUGAAAUGCGUAGAGAUCUGGAGGAAUACCGGUGGCGAAGGCGGCCCCCUGGACAAAGACUGACGCUCAGGUGCGAAAGCGUGGGGAGCAAACAGGAUUAGAUACCCUGGUAGUCCACGCCGUAAACGAUGUCGAUUUGGAGGUUGUGCCCUUGAGGCGUGGCUUCCGGAGCUAACGCGUUAAAUCGACCGCCUGGGGAGUACGGCCGCAAGGUUAAAACUCAAAUGAAUUGACGGGGGCCCGCACAAGCGGUGGAGCAUGUGGUUUAAUUCGAUGCAACGCGAAGAACCUUACCUGGUCUUGACAUCCACAGAACUUAGCAGAGAUGCUUUGGUGCCUUCGGGAACUGUGAGACAGGUGCUGCAUGGCUGUCGUCAGCUCGUGUUGUGAAAUGUUGGGUUAAGUCCCGCAACGAGCGCAACCCUUAUCCUUUGUUGCCAGCGGUUCGGCCGGGAACUCAAAGGAGACUGCCAGUGAUAAACUGGAGGAAGGUGGGGAUGACGUCAAGUCAUCAUGGCCCUUACGACCAGGGCUACACACGUGCUACAAUGGCAUAUACAAAGAGAAGCGACCUCGCGAGAGCAAGCGGACCUCAUAAAGUAUGUCGUAGUCCGGAUUGGAGUCUGCAACUCGACUCCAUGAAGUCGGAAUCGCUAGUAAUCGUAGAUCAGAAUGCUACGGUGAAUACGUUCCCGGGCCUUGUACACACCGCCCGUCACACCAUGGGAGUGGGUUGCAAAAGAAGUAGGUAGCUUAACCUUCGGGAGGGCGCUUACCACUUUGUGAUUCAUGACUGGGGUGAAGUCGUAACAAGGUAACCGUAGGGGAACCUGCGGUUGGAUCACCUCCUU